GUGGGGAAUAUUGCGCAAUGGGCGAAAGCCUGACGCAGCGACGCCGCGUGAGGGAUGAAGGUUUUCGGAUCGUAAACCUCUGUCAGAAGGGAAGAAACUACAUUGUGCUAAUCAGCAGUGUACUGACGGUACCUUCAAAGGAAGCACCGGCUAACUCCGUGCCAGCAGCCGCGGUAAUACGGAGGGUGCAAGCGUUAAUCGGAAUUACUGGGCGUAAAGCGCACGUAGGCUGUAGUGUAAGUCAGGGGUGAAAUCCCACGGCUCAACCGUGGAACUGCCUUUGGUACUGCACAACUUGAAUCCGGGAGAGGGUGGCGGAAUUCCAGGUGUAGGAGUGAAAUCCGUAGAUAUCUGGAGGAACAUCAGUGGCGAAGGCGGCCACCUGGACCGGUAUUGACGCUGGGGUGCGAAAGCGUGGGGAGCAAACAGGAUUAGAUACCCGGGUAGUCC
rnacentral:rRNA from 1 species